UUUGKUACCCSSGCKACUUAAGCAUAUCAAUAAGCGGAGGAAAAGAAACCAACAGGGAUUGCCCCAGUAACGGCGAGUGAAGCGGCAAUAGCUCAAAUUUGAAAUCUGGCUCUUUUAGGGUCCGAGUUGUAAUUUGCAGAGGGCGCUUUGGCGUUGGCAGCGGUCCAAGUUCUUUGGAACAGGACGUCACAGAGGGUGAGAAUCCCGUACGUGGUCGCUAUCCUUCGCCGUGUAAAGCCCCUUCGACGAGUCGAGUUGUUUGGGAAUGCAGCUCUAAAUGGGAGGUAAAUUUCUUCUAAAGCUAAAUACUGGCCAGAGACCGAUAGCGCACAAGUAGAGUGAUCGAAAGAUGAAAAGCACUUUGGAAAGAGAGUCAAAUAGCACGUGAAAUUGUUGAAAGGGAAGCGCUUGCAGCCAGACUUGCCUGUAGUUGCUUAUCCAGACUUUUGUCUGGUGCACUCUUCUGCGGGCAGGCCAGCAUCAGUUUGGGCGGUUAGAUAAAGGUCUCUGUCAUGUACCUCUCUUCGGGGAGGCCUUAUAGGGGAGACGACAUGUAACCAGCCUGGACUGAGGUCCGCGCAUCUGCUAGGAUGCUGGCGUAAUGGCUGUAAGCGGCCCGUCUUGAAACACGGACCAAGGAGUCUAACAUCUAUGCGAGUGUUUGGGUGUCAAGCCCAGACGCGUAAUGAAAGUGAACGGAGGUAAGAACCCUUUGGGUGCAUUAUCGACCGAUCCUGAUGUCUUCGGAAGGAUUUGAGUAAGAGCAUGGCUGUUGGGACCCGAAAGAUGGUGAACUAUGCUUGAAUAGGGUGAAGCCAGAGGAAACUCUGGUGGAGGCUCGCAGCGGUUCUGACGUGCAAAUCGAUCGUCAAAUUUGGCAUAGGGCGAAAGACUAAUCKAASUMSGAAUC
rnacentral:rRNA from 1 species